AGUCCAAUAGUUUAGUGGUUAUGACGCAUCCUUCACACGGAUGAGAUCCCGGUUCGAUUCCGGGUUGGACUA